GGAAGGGCAGGAGGCAAAGAAACAGGAGCUUUGUUAGAAAACAAAGGAGGUGCCAUCUCUGAAGCUAGGGAAGGAGAUGGUGCUGAUUGCAUUGUUGAUUGCAGGCCUGAAGACAGCGUCAUAGGUAGACUAGUAAAAGGCAAAGAACUGGGUGCUGGAGUUUGAGAACUACUGCUAAAAGGAAACAAAGAAGAGGGUGGUUCCGGCAAGCUUGAACCCUGAAAAGUUGAUGAACCAGCAGGUGUAGGGGCAUUAAAGUUAGGAUAUUGCUGCAGAGAACUGGGCAUUGGCAGUCCAUGAGGGGGUCGAAUCAGAGACUGCUGAUGCAAUUGGGGAAGACCAUUAGGAGGUGGUGAGUAGAAUCCUUGCCAAUACACUGGCGGUUGUGGCGACGCUCCCCACGAAUUAACAUUUCCACCAGGCUGAUACAAAGGCAUUGAGUUUUGGAAUCCCAUCCCAUGCUGUCCAGGUGGACUGCUCGCAGCAGGAGGCAAGCUACUCGAUGCAGGCAUAGGGCUAGGGUAGUGAGACUGCAAAACAAGAUAGAGGAUACAUCAAACUGAGACUUAAGGUCACAAACAACAUCACUCUAUAACAUUUCCACCAUUCACCUGGAUGAUAGCAGGGUCAUUGUUUAUAGCGGGUGGAGCUGCAGGUUGUACAGGUGGAGACGCUUUGACUUGCAAAUCCUGCCAACAACAAAAAGAAUCAGUGAUAAUAAACAUCAUAGCACAAGCACAAUCCUGAUGGAUACCUUGAUAUCGGUUCCACGGAACAAUAUGUACUCGUAAACUUUGUCACUAGGAGGAACUUGAGGACCAUCUUUCUUCCUUCCUUCGGUUCCAAACGAUCGGACUACAAUACGCUCAAAAUCAAAAAGGCAUCAGGAAAUCUCAAUCUCAAUCUCACAAGACCUACCUAAUCGAAACGAAAUCGUACCGUUCUGGAGUCCGAUACUGGAUUCAUCGGUGUUGAUGUUGUAAAGGAUGCCUUCGUAUCUGAUCUCGCUCUUGGAUGUCAAGCUAAUCAAGCUCCCUACGUACGAAUCCGCACCCGAGGAGCUCGAUUUCGCGCCUGUGCUAUCAGUCGCCAUGUCCGAUCUACGCCACACACACUAGGGCAAGUUCCUGAUCUGAUCCGCUUCCAGAGAGAGAGAGAGAACGAUUAGGGUUUUACUCUAAUUGGGGGAGAUCCAGCAUAUUCUCUCUUUCUCAUUAUCCAUUCCAUUCCCGUAAAUUACCCAAAAUAGCCUCGUGAAUCUGUUAACUAAUCGUGGAAAGCCACGUGUCUACUUGUAUAGCCCUCUUCGUAAUUCACCUUUUGGUCCAGCCAGUAGCUUACGAGCGAGCCACUCUAUUUGCUCGGCUCCUAUUGGUGGUUAUCGUGCAUUGUUGAUUGCAGGCCUGAAGACAGCGUCAUAGGUAGACUAGUAAAAGGCAAAGAACUGGGUGCUGGAGUUUGAGAACUACUGCUAAAAGGAAACAAAGAAGAGGGUGGUUCCGGCAAGCUUGAACCCUGAAAAGUUGAUGAACCAGCAGGUGUAGGGGCAUUAAAGUUAGGAUAUUGCUGCAGAGAACUGGGCAUUGGCAGUCCAUGAGGGGGUCGAAUCAGAGACUGCUGAUGCAAUUGGGGAAGACCAUUAGGAGGUGGUGAGUAGAAUCCUUGCCAAUACACUGGCGGUUGUGGCGACGCUCCCCACGAAUUAACAUUUCCACCAGGCUGAUACAAAGGCAUUGAGUUUUGGAAUCCCAUCCCAUGCUGUCCAGGUGGACUGCUCGCAGCAGGAGGCAAGCUACUCGAUGCAGGCAUAGGGCUAGGGUAGUGAGACUGCAAAACAAGAUAGAGGAUACAUCAAACUGAGACUUAAGGUCACAAACAACAUCACUCUAUA
rnacentral:lncRNA from 1 species